rnacentral:rRNA from 1 species
GUCCACGCCCUAAACGAUGGGAACUAGACGUCGGGAAGCUUGUCUUCUUGGUGUCGCAGCUAACGCAAUAAGUUCCCCGCCUGGGGAGUACGGUCGCAAGAUUAAAACUCAAAGGAAUUGACGGGGGCCCGCACAAGCGGUGGAGCAUGUGGUUCAAUUCGAUGCAACGCGAAAAACCUUACCUGCCCUUGACAUCUAGAGAAUUCUGCAGAGAUGUGGAAGUGCCGCAAGGAACUCUAAGACAGGUGCUGCAUGGCUGUCGU